AUUGAACGCUGGCGGCAGGCCUAACACAUGCAAGUCGAACGAGUGGCGGACGGGUGAGUAAUUUCUGGGAAACUGCCUGAUGGAGGGGUAUAACUACUGGAAACGUUAGCUAAUACCGCUUAACAUCCUAUGUGCUCAGAUGGGAUUAGCUAGUUGGUGGGGUAACGGCUCACCAAGGCGACGAUCCCUAGCUGGUCUGAGAGGCUGACCAGCCACACUGGAACUGAGACACGGUCCAGACUCCUACGGGAGGCAGCAGUGGGGAAUAUUGCACAAUGGGCGCAAGCCUGAUGCAGCCAUGCCGCGUGAGUGAAGAAGGCCUUCGGGUUGUAAAGUACUGUCAGCGGGGAGGCGUUACCCGCAGAAGAAGCACCGGCUAACUACGUGCCAGCAGCCGCGGUAAUUC
rnacentral:rRNA from 1 species